UACAGAGGUGGCAAGCGUUGUUCGGAAUUACUGGGCGUAAAGGGCGCGUAGGCGGCCAUCUAAGUCAGACGUGAAAUCCCCCGGCUUAACCUGGGAACUGCGUCUGAUACGUGGACGGCUUGAGUAUGGGAGAGGGAUGUAGAAUUCCAGGUGUAGCGGUGAAAUGCGUAGAUAUCUGGAGGAAUACCGGUGGCGAAGGCGGCAUCCUGGACCAUUACUGACGCUGAGGCGCGAAAGCUAGGGGAGCAAACGGG
rnacentral:rRNA from 1 species